AUCCUUCCUACCUUGAUAUAAAACACUCAAUUAUACAAAUCCUAAAAAAAAGUUUUUCAAUUCCUAGGGCUAAAAAGAAGAAAAGCUGGGCAGCAGCAUUACACCAAAAACGGGAAGGCUCCUCUCCUUCUUCUCCAUUCCCACUCGAGCUCUCACACUCACGCACAACAUCUGAAAUUCGAAAUUAGCGAAAGUUUAAAAAUCUUAGAUCUGAACCUUUCAGCUUUAGGUUUGAGAGAGACACACAAAAAUAAUUCAAUAUAGAUCUAUUUGGUAGUCAUUUAAAGGGUAUACAUUUAUGAUGCCAGGAAUUUUCUCCACUGUUUCUCCUGGGUUUUGAGCUGGUUAUUUUUUACUGGAAGUUGAAGCUGCUUCUCUAUUGAAUUUGUGUUGCUGAAUUUCAAUUAUCUUUUCAGCCUUAUUUGGCACUUCUAGAUCGUUUUCUUGCUGUUGAGUUUUGCUUCUUUGUAUGCAACAAAAGAUUGAGCUAUUAAAGGAUUAUUUUACUGAAAAUCGGUGUUGUUACUGCUUUUUCGGAUCCCGUCGCUAUUAUUUCUACUUGAUUUUUGGUUAUUUCAGCUUGAUAUUCGGAUGCUGCCUCGCUGAGCUUGAUAUACUAUUGAAAUCAGUUGAUUUUCUACACUCUAGCUUGUGUGAUAUUCAUUUAAAAGUUCCGUUCGAGAUUCCGGCGAGGUUCCGGCGCUGCUACGUGUGCUGUUCAAGUUUUCCAAUUUUGGUCCGGUUGACAGUUCGAUGUCGGUUGCUGGUUUGAGUUUCCGUCCGAGCUUCCGUCUGUUCCGAAUUUUUGUUGUGGCUUCAGCGUUGCUGUCUCAUCGCUGAAUUUAGCUGUUCAUCCUUGCUGGGCUUCAACAUUUUCUUAUCUCGCUCUCAUUUGGUUUUAAGAAUUGGUUUGGGGUGCAACAGGUACUCUUUCUCAUAUUUGAAUUACUGUUGUAUAAGAAUGAUCUAUUUCCUUUGGGUUUUUCAUAUAUAAAAAUCUGAUUCUCUUUCAUAUUAUGAACUUCUCUGGAUAUGGCUGUUGCUGGUGAAUUUAAAUUUGCUGCUGUGUUUGGUGUAUACGUUACCCUGUUCUCGGUGUGUUAAUUGAUUUAUCUUGGUGUAGAGUUUGUCGUUUGUAAGACAUUUCCGUCUACAAUCCUUUUGUAUGUAACUCAUAUGAACCUUUAUAUUUGUAAUUGUUUGGAUGAUGUUCUGUAUCGUAGUACAAUUGGUAUUUGUGUAUUGAUCGGAUGAAGGAAAAGAAUGGAUCUAUUUUUAAUUGCUAGCACAAAGUCAUUUACAAGUUACGGUUAUAUAGUACAUCUAUUUGCAAUAGCUACAUUUAUAAUCGUUAUAUUUAUAAUUGCUAAAAGUCUGAGAAUGCUUGAAGUCCUUUGCUCAACCCAAAUAUUGAACAAUAGUGAUGGCGGACUACUGUUUAAUGAGGUAAGUAGUUAGUUGAAGUUGUUCGAGGUGUGCCUUUAGUAAAUUUCAUGGCCCUCGCAAAGUAGAAAAUUGUAGUUGAUUUAGGUUUACCCUUUAAAAUAAAUGAGGCGAGCUUCGCCCAAUAAAAUAUAAAAUUACGGGGUCCUCAAUAAAAGCUAAAAAAUAUUUAGAAUUCCGGGAUGGGCCGUUUAGCGAAUUUCACGGCUCUCCCAAAAGAUAAUAACGCGCUAGACUCUUUUAGGCGCGUAUUUUAAUAAUUUUACCUUCUUAAAUAUGGGUGUGCAUUGACUCCGACCCAAAUCCAAAUCUCGAUGAAGUUGAAAUGUGUCAAUGACGACGUGUUCCUUGAUGGCGACGCGGUUAGAGAUGUGUUUUCACGACGUCGCAAGUCUUUUAAAAAUAAAUAUAGAUAAAAGCGGUUUAUAAAUAAAAGACAUAUAAGUUAGCAUGCUUUAAAAUCAGGUUUUAAUAAAAUAUAAUAAUUUAAGCGACCGUGCUAGAACCACACGAUCCGAGGGUGCCUAACACCUUCCCUCGGGUCAACAUAAUUCCUUAUUCAGAAUUUCUUGUUCGCUGACUCCAAUCGGAAGUCAAAAGUUUCCUCGGUUCGGGAUACAAGAAAAAACCAGUGACUUGGGACACCAAAAGCCAAACCUUUCCCAAGUGGUGACUCUGAAUAAAUAAAUAAUUCCGAUCCGAAUAAUGUCACUUUAAAUGGAAAAACUCCCUUAUACAUUAUCCUUCGGGGUAAGGUGUGUAAAAAGGAGGUGUUACAGUUUGUGUUGCUUGUUUUGUCGUUAAACCCUUUCACCGUCUGUUUAAUACAAUUCUUUGUUUUGUGCCAUUUCUAGUCAUUUUUGUUUAGUUCUCUUUUCUUUCUACAAAUCUUUUCCUGUUAGAUUUAGUGACAUGGCAUGCACGCAUAAUUUUCAGUCGGAUGUUUAAAAUCUAUGUUUGGUCGGAAAGCAAUGAAACCAUUCUGAAGACGAUGAGGGCACUUUGAGGAAAUAAGAGUAGAUUUGGACGUUGUGAGAUUGUUUGACGCCCGAACCAUGUGAAACUGGGGCAAGUAAAACAUUAAAAAAAUCCUCGUAAAAGCAAGUCGGCCAAAGUGGAAGGGGGCUGAUCGUGGUAAUAAGAGUAAGUGUUUCCCAAUGGCACAUUAUAUCUGACAAAUGUAGAAGGAAAUGUGUGGAAAUGACCAUCAAUUUCGAUGUGUCAAGAGAUGAUGUAAAUGUCUUAUUUAUUCUGAAUGUACUUUGUUUGACGCCCGAACCAUGUGAAACUGGGGCAAGUAAAACAUAAAAAAAAUUCACGUAAAAGCAAGUCGUCCAAAUUGAUAGGGGGUUGUUCAUGGUAAUGAGAGUGAGAGUGUUGUCCAAUGACGCUUUGUAGUUCACAAAUGCAGAAGACGAAUGUGUGGAUAUGGUUGUUUAAUUGUGCAAUUUGCACUUCGCGUGUUUUGGAGAUUGGAAUGACGAAGGCAUUUUGUUCUACUAUCUAAACACUUUAUCCCUUGUCAUCCUUUUUGAGCCUUGUCUAGUUUCUUUCAUACCCCUCUUUUAGAAUCAACGACACACUCAAGAAAUGCAAGUGCCGCAAGUAAGGAAAGAAAAAAAAGAAAGAAAAAAAGAGAGAAGAACAAGGAAAGAAAAAGAAAAAAAAAAGAAUAACAAGAAAAAAAAAAGAAAGAAAAGAAAAGAGAAGAAAAGAAAAGAAAAAAAGAAAAGAGAAGGAAAAUGAAAAGAAAGAAAAGAAGAAAAGAAAACAAAAAAAAGAAAGAAAGAAAGAAUCACAACAACAAAAGUAAUUUCUAUGUCAUGAACUACGUUUGACCUGAUUCUUUUUUAGGAUACGUAGGAAGCCUCACGGUACGGUCUCAUCAAAAGAAAAUCCAAAAGUCUCCAAGCAAGAAACUGGGGCAGAAGUUGUGAUUGUUGAAAGAAAUUGGAUUCCGAAGGUUGUACUUUUAACCCAUUUUGACAUUGUUUUUAGCCUUUUAUACCCUUCUUUUCUAACCCCGUCCAAAAGCCAUAUUACGGUUCAAAGUAAGACCUUACGAUCACUCUUCGAGACGUGCCAAGUCGAGCAAGCAAGGUAAAUUAUGUCAGGGGCAACACUCCGGUCCAAGCAAGAAAAAUAAAAAUGAGAGAGCCGGAUUGGUGAAAACCUUCAUGGGCACCGCAAGGCGAUGAAAGCUGAGAGCAAUAAAAAUGAGAGAGUCUUAUUGGUAAAAACCUUCACAAGAACCUUGAGGCAACGGUAAGUUGAAAGAAAGAACAAGUAAGAGAGGUUUGUUAGUGAAAACCCUUUGGGCACGACAACCGAAUAAGGAAUGCGAAUCAAAUUGGAUAAGCGGAGCAUUGAAGCCCAAUUUCACAUCGAAAGGUACAACAAGAGCUGAAUGUCAGAAUUGAUUAACGGAAUAUCUACAGGUGCAUAUCAUGGUCAUCAGAGUUGGUAUCCUCAUCUGAUAGGUUUUUACUUUGUAGUUUUCCCUUUAGGAUUCAUGUCUUUCUUUUUCCUUCACUCUGUUCCCCUAUUUUGUUCACUUCCUCUCUCUGAGUCUGUUUGGUUAUAACAAGUGAGAAAUGAUUGCAAAAUUUUCCACCAGCUUUCCUAUUGCGUAAAAUGAUGUUGUGGAUUGCGUAUCGAAGUGUCACAAGUCAAGAAAAAAACAAAAACACUAAGCUGGUAAUAAUCAACAUGCAUUGGGGGUUUGGGUCUGGCAGAUGUCGGGUCACGAGCAAUGCAGCAGAGGGUAUUCGGUUGAACGGGGAAUAGAUAUUUUCUAUGACAAGGGUACAACAAAAGGAGCAGUAGGCCUCAAGGUCAGGGGCCAAGGGGCUUCAAUUUGGGAGAACAACAUACUGUAGGUGGAAAUCAACAUGCUUUAGGGGUUCACAUGAGGCACAAGGGUUGGUAAAAGUCGGUUCAGAAGCAGUUCAACAAACAGAAGGCAUAGGGUUGAAAUGUAGAAAAGGUAUAUUAUAUGCCAAGGAUGACAAAGGAAGUGGCAGGGCAAGAAACAUGCAGGGGAUUCAAAUGGGAAAUAAAAGUUAUCAUGACAAAUAAGGGAGCAACAACCUCAAGGCCAAGAAACAAUAACAUACUAUGGAGGGGCGAUGGACGUGCUGUGAAAUUCAUGUGAAAGACAAGGUUAGGGAGAUGUCGGUUCAUGCCAUUUGCACUUUAUGUGAUAAGGGUAAUAGAAAAGGGGUUUUGCCCAUAAAACAAGCAAGGUCUUCGAAUGGAAAUCAAGCAUCAGUGCAAGCGAAGCAUAAAUCCCCGCAAAGUUCAAGGCCACAAACCAACCACCGCUUUAAACUGACAAGAUUUUUCUUUGAUUAAAACAGGGGCAAAAAUUCAUUUGUUUCAGGGAAACUCUCUGCAGGAGAAAGAGCAAGCACCAAAAUAGGUUAGUCCGAAGUUCAAAUACAUUCCGGCCUUUAAAUUUAAAAUUAUUAGUCUUUAAGUUUUAAGUUUUGUUAAUCUUUAAAUUUUAAGUGUUGGAAGUGGGGAGCCCGCCCCGAUAACAGAGGCAUACAUUUCAGUCUUUAGAUUUUAAGUGUUGAAGUGGGGAGCCCGCCCGGAUAACAGAGGCAUACAUUUAAAACUUUAAAUUUUAAGUUUUGAAGUGGGGAGCCCGCCCCGAUAACAGAGACAUACAUUUUAGUCUUUAAAUUUUAAGUUUUGAAGUGGGGAGCCCGUCCCGAUAACAGAGGAAUACAUUUCAGUCUUCAAAUUUUAAGCCUUUCAGUCUUUAAAUUUAAAGUUUUGAAGUGGGGAGCCCGCUCCAAUAACAGAGGACUACAUUUCAGUCUUUAAAGUUUAAGUUUUUCAAUCUUUAAAUUUUAAGUUUUGAAGUGGGGAGCCCGCCCCGAUAACAAAGGAAUACAUUUCAGUCUUUAAAUUUUAAGUUUUUCGGUCCUUAAAUUUUAAGUUUUGAAGUGGGGAGCCCACCCCGAUAAUAGAGGAAUACAUUUCAGUCUUUAAAUUUUGAAGUUUUUCAGUCCUUAAAUAUUAAGUUUUGAAGUGGGGAGCCAGCCCUGAUAACAAAGGAAUACAUUUCAGUCUUCAAAUUUUAAGAUUUUUUUAGUCCUUAAAAUUUAAGUUUUGAAGUGGGGAGUCCUCCCCUACCCCCUUCCCCCGAUAAUAGAGGAAUAUAUUUCUGUCUUCAAAUUUUAAGCUUUUCAGUCCUUAAAUUUCAAGUUUUGAAGUGGGUAUCCCGCCCCGAUAACAGAGGAAUACAUUUUAGUCUUUAAAUUUUAAGUUUUUCAGUCCUUAAAUUUUAUAUUUUGAAGUGGGGAGCCCUCCCUGAUAACAGAGGAAUACAUUUCAGUCUUUAAGACUUUAAGGUCACACUUUAGUCUUAUCGCAAUUCAAUUUUUACUUUUCUACUCAUAUUAGUAUCCGAUAACAAACCCCAGUUUUUCCAAACUGGGGCAGAAAGUUUUCUUUGUUUUGUCUAUUUUUGCGAAGUCAGGAGCCCGCCUGGAUAAUAGAGGAAUACAUUCAAGUUCAAUUUUGUUCAAGUUCAACAAUUUGGAGAAAAGGAACAACAUCUCAGUUGACCAGUCGAAGUAACAACAAGGGAUUUCACCGAGAAAACACAAGACAAUGAGGCAACGAGAAUACAAGAGAAUGCAAGACAACAAGGAAGUACAAGAUGCAAUUUGAAUAUUUUAGAUAUGAUUUUUGUAAUUCAUAGUACAUAGUUUGGUCUAGCUUCUUUUAUCUUGACAUGGUGUAAUAAGGAAGGUCAGCGAGCAGUAGCAGCAACAGCAAGCGCAGUAAAAUCACAGCUCCUGGUAGUCCCAGGUACCGGCACUCCCGAACUACACUGACCUAAUUCCUGUUUAGCCCAUGAUAUGUAGGUAACCUCUAAAGUAGGGUGCAGUCAAACUUUUCAAAAAUGCUUCACAUGAAAUUUUCAAACGGCAAACAUCGCUCGUAUUUGCUCACUUGUCUUUGCACAAAAACUCUUCGUGUUUCCGAGCAAAGAGGGGCAGCUCUGAGCACGUGAUGUUUUCCCUAUAUUUGCAUUAUUCCCAAAAAAAUCAAACAAAAUUAUUUUUCUUUAUUUUUACAAUUUUUGUCCAUUUUUGUGUCAUUUUCUGAUAAUUGUUGCAUUUUAUGUGUGCAUAUUGACUCAUAAAAGUACAAAAAAAUAUGCAUUUGCAUUUAGGAUUUAAUUUUAUAUUUUAAUAUUAAUUAGGGGUUAAUUUAUUUUAGAACAAAGAAUGAAAAUCACAAAAAAUAGCUCACUUUUGCAUUUUAAUUGUUUUAAUCGUGAAUCUAUCAUAUUAUAGGUUUUAAAUAAUUUUAGGCGGCUGCUGGGGUUCAAUGCCCUAUCCAACGUUACAAUUGGGCGGCUGCAGCUAAGCUUCAUGUGAGAGGCCCCAUUUGUUGAAGCUAGAACACAUACUUGGACUUUUAUGUCCACCUUUGACCGCAGUUUUAGCCCAAAUAGGACUAAGUUAAUUGUGCUCGCAGAGAUUCGAUAUCCCAACCUCCAACUCACCUCUGAUCCAUGCAAUUGGGUUCAUUUGGGCCAGUCAUUUGGGCCCAGUUCAAAUCCUAUUCAAAGGGUUGAAUAACAUUAAUUCGUGUUUCGAGUUAGGUAGCAGAUUCAAGCUAAAAGGUCUUUCCUUUUGUUUGGGCCCGAACUUGAACUUGAAAUCAGAGCCCUAAUAGUAAUCAAUUAGGAUUUCCUUUUUCCUUUAAAAAAUCAAAAAAAGAUCAAAAAUAUAGUCGCUUUUAGGCUUAUCUUUUAAAAUAAAAUGAGACGAGCCUCGCCCAAUAAAAAUGCAAGAUUGCGGGGCCCUCAAUAAAGGUGUAAAAAAUAUUUAUAAAAUCGGGAAGGGUUGUUUAUAGAAUUUCACGACCCUCCCAAAUGAUAAUAAUGCGUUAGACUCUUUUAGACGUGAUUCUAAUAAAAUUACAUUCUUAAAUACGGGUGUGCAUUUCAUGAGGCCCAAAUCCAAAUCCUGAAAUGUUGGAUAGAGUAUGUCUAGGUUUGCGGAUUCAUUUCAUGCGGCGCAAUCCGAAAGCACGCUUUAAACGACGUUCACUUUCUUUUAAAUAAAUACAUAUUAAAUAAAAGCGGUUAAAAAUAAAAAUUGGCACAUAGGCUCUUCAUGUAAUAAAAUCAGAUAAAAGCUAAAUGCAACAGUUGAGCUAUGAUGCCAAGAGAUAUGUGGAUGAGGAAUGUUGCAACUCUGCAAUGCUAUUCUCAAGUUUUCUUUUAUAUUUAGCUAGUGUUUUGGUCAAAAGUUGAAACAGAGUUUUCGCAAAGCUUAGCAGUCUUAUAUCUUUAUAUUGCCGCUAUUACAAAAAUGAAUCUCCCAGUUUCUUUACGUGCGUAAUUUAAAUUACUUUUUUAAAUUUGGAUGCGCAUUUAUGUGACCCAAAUUCAAAUUUCAAUGUUAAAUAAAAUAUGCUGCGAGCUACAGGUGCUUUUAUGUAACGUGGUUCAAGACAUUUUUUAAUAACGUUGCAAUCUUCUUUAAAAUACUUAAUAAAAGUGAUUAAAAGAUUUAAAAUGCACAUAGGUUCAUAAUUGUAUAAAAUCAAAUAAUUUAAGCCAAAUAUAACAGUUGAGCGACCGUGCUAAAACCACGGAACCCGAGAAUGCCUAACACCUUCUCCCGGGUUAAUAGAAUUCCUUAUCCGGAUGUCUGGUUCGCGGACUGUUAAUAGUGUCAUCUUUCUCCUCGGUUCGGGAUUCAACUGGUGACUUGGGACACCAUUAAUCUCCCAAGUGGCGACUCUGAAUAUUAAUAACAAAUCUCGUUUCGAUUGCCUUUUAAGUGGAAAAAUGCCUUUAUGCCCUUUUGCGGGGGUGUAUAGUGAAAGAGGAGGUGUGACAACAUUUACGUUGGGACUACGGGAAGGUAUUCCCGGAGAUCCCCUGUUACUAUUACUGUGUUCUGAGAUGUUGGCUUUCAUUGAAUUCUAUUCUUGUUAGAUUUCCGUAUUUAUUUUACUGCAAUAUUGCUUUAUGUCUUAUUUCAUUAUAUCUAUACUAGUAGGCCUUGGCCUGAUCUCGUCACUACUCAAUCAAGGUUAGGCUUUGAACUUAUUAGGUACCAUUGUGGUAUACUCAUACCCUUUCCUGCACAUGUUUUCCGUGUGCAGAUCUAGGUACUAGCUAUCAGCCUCGAGUUUAGUUGAGUUGUUGCUGCUUCAGGAGACUUCAAGGUACAUCUGCCUGUGUUUGCAGACCUCGGAGUCCCCUUCUAUCCCCUAUGUUCAUUUUCUUCUUUUCCGUAGGAAUGAUGUAUAGAAUAGUUAGGACUUCUUAGAAGCUUGGGACAUCCUGAUAUUUCGAGUUUGGGAAAGAUGAUAAUUUUAUAUGCUGAGUGGCACUGCUUCUGCUUAUUAGUUAUAUAUGUUAGCUAUCAUCCUUGAGUUUUUAUUUCAUUUCCAAAAAUUUUAGGUGACUAGGUGUCGUCACGAUAAUUUGCGGAGGGAGAAAUUGGGUCGUUACACCUUAUUCUAGCAGGACCAUUCUGAGGAAGCCCCACUCAACGGAAUCAUAGCCUUUUCUAAUGUCUACCUUUACUAGGCAACUAGGAGACACUCCUUUUUUGUGUAACACUUAACCAUUUCAUGCGCCACAAUCCCAUUAUCUAGAAUGUUUCUCUCCUCAAUGAAUGUUGAUUGUGAAGGCCCCACCAAGUGGUCAACUACUCAUUUCAACCUAGCAGUAAUGGCUUUAGCUAUCCGUUUGUACAGUGUAGUGCAGCAGGCUAUGGAUUUGAAUUCCUUCACAAAGAUGGGGUUUUUUACUUUCGAAACUAAAGUCACAAUAGUGCAAUUUACUUCCUUAAGUAGUUUACAUGUUUGAAAGAACUGCAUUGUAGCCUUUUUUAACUCUUUCUCUAUUAAAUGCUAGUAACAACAACAACAACAACUACCCAGUAUAUUCCUACCAGGUGGGGUCUGAGGAAUAUUAAAUGCUAGUACUGUUUGAAUAAUUCAACUGGGAAUCCAUAAAUGCCAAGAGAUUUAUCAGCUGAGAGGUCUUUCAAAGCAUGAAGCACUUUUGUUUCUGUUAUUUCCUGUAUGAGGUCCAGUUGUUGUUUAUUAGUAAGACAAGGCCCAUCUCUUCCUAUGGUCGGUCUAGUCAAGGCAUUUCUGCUAUAGUUGUUCCUAGUAAGUUUUGAAAGAAAUCUAUAAAUUCAUCUUGGAUUAAGGCAGGUUCAUGCAAUUGUAUUUCAUGUUCUAUGCAAAUAGAGGAGAUUCUAUUUCUAGCUUGUCUAACUUUCAGUACUGCAUGAAAGAAUUUUGUGUUCGAAUCUCCAUAAGCUAGCCAUGUUGCUCUAGAUUUAUAUCGAAGAACUUUCUCAUAUAUAGUUGUCCAUUUUUUCAGUUGUACCAAAGUAUCUUUUUUAGUUGUAAUGAGUUGUUCAUUGAAUAUAUCUGCACCCAGUCUCCUGUAUGCAGUUUUGAAAGUCUUCAAUCUCUAAUUAUUUCACAGGAAAUCUAUUUACUCUAUGUUACACAGAGAGGAUUGUAUUGAAAUUACCUAGGACAACCCAGGGAUCAGACAUCAGGGUGCUAAUUACUUCAAUUGUCUACAUAAGUCUUUCCUCUCAUUUUGUGUAUUUCUCCAUAUACAAAGGUCACGCGGCAGGCAAAUUGUGACUCCUUAUCCUCAACCUUACAGUGUACCAGUUGCAUAUGCGAUAGAAAAACAGUUACUGAUACCUUGUGAGGUUUCCAGUAAAUCCAUAGUCUGCCUUUAGAGGUGAGUGUAUAGUCUGCAUGUAUCAGCCACUAACCUCCUGACUUUCUUUUUAUUUUUUUCUCCUUCGUUCUACUUUAUUUUAGUUUCUAGACAUCCCAACAGUACUACUUUAUGUUUAAGCAAAAAGGAUUUCAAUUUCUUUUGCUUGAAGGUCUUGUUCAACCCUCUUAUGUUCCAUGAGCAAAUUAUCGUAGGAGAUCUUUGAUUACAGAAUUAUCCCCAUUUACUAGACCGAUAUUAGCUUUCUCAGGUUGUAUACUUAGGGCACUGAAUAUGUUCUGUCGUAGGAGUUUUUCAACAUCUUCCGUUACUAACGGGGACCUAGACCUGGUAUCCUUUUUUCAUAAGUAUUUUUCUUGCCCCUGUCGUUGCAUAAUCUUUGAGUUUCAUGGCUUUCCUCCAUAACAUUCACUUCCGUGUGGAUUUCUUUUGUUCCAUCAUCUGUCUUUUUAGUAGCAUCAACAGGUGGCUCUGUAUUGAGUUUGACUUUCCAUUGUUGCUGCUUUACUUUCUUCUGUUGUCUUCUUGGUUGUUGCUUGUCAAUUUUUACAGAGUGUGUCUUUGUAUGUGCUUUGAAGUUUUCUUUGUGCUUACCAAUCUGUAACCAUUCUUGGCAGUACUCUGGUUUUCAUUCACACUAAUUUGGUAGCAAAAUGCAGCUGCCAUCAGGCUCCUCUAGCAUUACUAAUUCAGGGACAGGCUGGGCCACAUCCAUUUCAAUAAGCACACCGACAUAGGAGAUUCAUUUUUCUUUUGCUGUGACCUUAUCAGUAUAGAUUGGUUUCCCCAGGCAGCUAGUUACUCGUCCCAAGUUUUCUGUUGCCCAAUACUGCAUGGGUAGGUUUGGGAACACUACCUAUACUGGCAUUGCAUUCAGUGGUUCUUCAGCUAAUUUGAAGUCUGGUACCCAUUGCUUAAGAAUCAUAUGCCUAAUGUUGUAAGUAUAAUGGCCAUUUUGUAGAAUCUUUAUUUUGUCUUUUUCAUUUUCAAAUCUAAAUAUGAAAUAGCCUUCAUCAUAGAGAUAAACCUGAGGAGUUGUGACAACAUCCCAUACCCCAUAGACGAGCUUAAACGUGUCUUUAAAUAUAAGGUUACCCCCUAUUACAUAACCAAUUAGGGCCGAACUCCAUUUUUGAUUUAGCAGUUCUAUAGAAUUGGCACUUAACUUGACUACUUUAAUUCCAUCCUUCAAGGUAGGGGGAAAGUAAUUAAGUUCCUGCCCUAAGUACUAUGUCCAUCAUGUUUGGCUUGACCACACUGGAGUUUGUAGAGAACGUUAGUUUCUGUUGUAUUUUUUUUUCUUUAAAGGGUGUGAAUGGGAAUAGAAGAGGCGCCUUUUGGAUUGCACCUCUUCAUAUCACCCUUCUUUUUCUAUAAAUUUAGAUAUUUUGCCUCAUUUUUGAGACG
rnacentral:lncRNA from 1 species